rnacentral:rRNA from 1 species
UACGGAGGAGGCAAGCGUUAUCCGGAAUUAUUGGGCGUAAAGAGUCCGUAGGUUGCCAUUCAAGUCUGCUGUUAAAGCGUGGAGCUUAACUCCAUACCGGCAGUGGAAACUGAGUAGCUAGAGUUCGGUAGGGGUAGCGGGAAUUCCCAGUGUAGCGGUGAAAUGCGUAGAGAUUGGGAAGAACAUCGGUGGCGAAAGCGCGCUACUGGACCGAAACUGACGCUGAGGGACGAAAGCUAGGGGAGCGAAAGGG